CGGCGGGGAGAACCGGGCGGCCGCGCUGCCCCGCGGGGAGACGCCGAGCGAGCGCGGCUUUACCUCACGUUCCGCACGGCGGGGGAGCGCAGACGCCGCGGGGCGGUCGCGGCGCAGUACCCUCACGGAUCGCUGCUCCCGGGGCCGCCCCGGCCGCCCUCGGGCCCCGGCCGCCGGGCUGGCGGUGCUCCGGGCUGGCCUCCCGCCGGGCUGGCCGUACCCCGGGCUCAGCGCGGCGCCGGGGGCACAGCCCGGCCCCCGUUAGUCGUUACUUGUGCAACGCCACGGUUGUCUACCGGGUGCCCCUUCUGAAAAGUCAUUCCACAGUCACGAAACAGCGUUUCAGAACAACCCUGUACUAAUCCAAUAACGAGGAGACUGCUUCGCCUCGGCUAAGCCCCGCAGCGGCACUGCCAGUGCUCCUCAGCUGGGUCACACGAAUCGACGGCAGCAUCCUGGUCCUCGCAGAAGCACGCUAUGAGACGUUCACAAUCCAAGCUCAGCAUCGUGUCUCACCUACAGCCACCGCGGCGCGAAGCUGGGUAUCUACGCCUGAUCCACCCAGGGGGCUGCCAUCUGCAAACACCCUGCCGCCGGGAGAGGCCUGGAUGGAGGAGAGCGUGAGAUUGUCAGCAUCUUGAAAAGUUACUUGUCUCUGGUCCCUCCGAACACAGGUAGCAAAGAGAAAUGUUGCCUUGGACUCCUUCCUGCAGGGUGAAUGUACCUGAAGAAGUGAUGUGGAUAAAAAAGCAGGGCCUUCUCAGAAAUUAAUGUAUAAAGUAGAAGUUUGUGUGCAAUAGCCAUAAGGCUUAAAUGAAUGGUUACUGAUGCUAUUCUGUCAGAAAUGCAUGAUUUUUGUAAUAGGACCUGAUACAUAUGAAGUAUAA